UCUCAAGUGAAACAACGAUCCAAUAAUUUACCUAUGUUCAAAAUAAAGGCAUGUCCUAAAUCUCUCUCUCGUUCUCUCUUUUUUUCCCCAUUCUUUAAGGUUGUUUUUUCGGAUUGGUUUUUUAUUCAAAGUUGGAUCUUGAUUCCAAAACUUGUUCUGGGAGCUUUUAUGCCCAAACAUUUAGGAGAUUGAAGAUUUUGUGAUGGAAGAAGGAGAUUCUUCUGUAAGGAGAUGGGAGGACCUUGAUAUUGAUAUCUUGGUGAAGAUACUCCAGUCUUUUGACCUUUUUGAGUUGACUUCCGGACUUGCUCAUGUUUGUAGUGCGUGGCGAUUGGCUUGUUCUGAUCAACUUCUUUGGAUGACGCUGGACUUGUCGAUAUUAAAAUCAAAUUAUAUCAAAAUUCCGUUAGAGCCAUACGUAUAUGUGGACUGUCAGUCUGAUAAAACAUUGACCAGCCUCCUGAAGAUUUGUUUGAACCUCAGUAGUGGAAACAUACGAACAUUAAUCUUCCAUUACAAUUUGUAUGUCAGCGACGAUCAGUUGACUUAUACUGCCGAGAGGUGUCCACGUCUAAAACGUCUUGUUAUGCCUGCUUGGAACAGAAUAAAAAAGACAGGAAUAUGCAGGGCUAUUCAUAUGUGGGAAGAUCUUGAAUCACUGACGAUGCCUAGUAUAGCUAAUCCUCCGUAUGUCAUGGAGGAAAUUGCAAGGAGUUGCAAAAAUUUUGCUGAGCUCAAGAUAAUGGGGCCCUGUGAUAUGCUCUUUGCAUCUUCACUGGUAUCAUUUCUUCCAAACUUGAAAGUGUUGAGUGUGAGGUGCACAUUGUUAUCUAAAAGUGCCUUGGUUACUAUCUUGGACGGGUUAAAAAAGUUGGAAGUGCUCAACAUAUCUCAUUGCGUAAUUACUGAAGAUCCUCCACCUGCACCAAAGAAAAUUCUGGCCAAGCUUGAUGAUUCAAUUCUCGAAAAAGCAUCUAGGUUACACAAAUUCCUAACCUGCAUGAGUGACUCAUGCAUCAUGUGUCAGCGCUGUCGAAAUGAUGAAGGGCUGAUGAGGUGGUAUAAGUAUGAAGAACUCUGGAAAGUGGAUGAGGAGUUUAGGAGAUUGGAGUUUUUGUGAUGGAGGAAGGAUAUUCUCCUGUAAGGAAAUGGGAGGACCUUGAUAAUGAUAUCUUGGUGAAGAUACUCCAGUCUUUUGACCUUUUUGAAUUGUCUGCUGGACUUGCUCAUGUUUGUAAUAUGUGGUGAUUGGCUCGUUGUGAUUAACUUCCCUGGAAAAAGCUGGACUUGUCGGUAUUGCAAUCAAAUUUCAUCAGAAUCUCAAGGAAGCCUUACGUAUAUGUCGACAGUCCGUCUCAAGAAAAAUUGACCCGAGUCCUAAAUAUUUGCUUGAACCUCAGUCAUGGAAACAUACAAAUAUUGAUAUUGCAUCACAAUUUGUAUGUUAACAACAAUCAGUUGACUUUUACUGCUGAGAGGUGUCCACGGCUUAAACACCUUGUUAUGCCUUCUUGGAACAAAAUAAAAAGCAAACAAUAUGCAGGGCUAUUUAUAUAUGGGAAGAUCUUGAAUCACUAACGAUGCCUAGUAUAAAAAAAUCAUGCAUAUUU